CGCUUCUUCCCCAACCUACUACCUCCGUCCUUCCCAGAAACACAAUUUUUCACCGCUUCCCACUACUUUCUUUCCAUUUCUCCUCAAUUUCCACCGCCUUCUUUUCCCCAACCUCAAUAAUUAAUUUAUUAUUUAUAACCCCACCUCGAAUUUCCUCCACAUAACCUUAAAUUUCCGUCCCACUCUCUUCAAUUCCUUAUGGUUUAUCGCGGUUUACGUCGCCGA
rnacentral:misc_RNA from 1 species